AGUGAACGCUGGCGGUAGGCCUAACACAUGCAAGUCGAACGGCAGCACAGUAAGAGCUUGCUCUUACGGGUGGCGAGUGGCGGACGGGUGAGGAAUACAUCGGAAUCUACUUUUUCGUGGGGGAUAACGUAGGGAAACUUACGCUAAUACCGCAUACGACCUACGGGUGAAAGCAGGGGAUCUUCGGACCUUGCGCGAUUGAAUGAGCCGAUGUCGGAUUAGCUAGUUGGCGGGGUAAAGGCCCACCAAGGCGACGAUCCGUGGCUGGUCUGAGAGGAUGAUCAGCCACACUGGAACUGAGACACGGUCCAGACUCCUACGGGAGGCAGCAGUGGGGAAUAUUGGACAAUGGGCGCAAGCCUGAUCCAGCCAUACCGCGUGGGUGAAGAAGGCCUUCGGGUUGUAAAGCCCUUUUGUUGGGAAAGAAAAGCAGCAGGUUAAUACCCCGCUGUUCCGACGGUACCCAAAGAAUAAGCACCGGCUAACUUCGUGC
rnacentral:rRNA from 1 species